rnacentral:SRP_RNA from 1 species
GCCGGGCGUGGUGGCGGGCACCUGUAAUCCAAGCUACUGGGAGGCUGAGACAGAGAAUUGCUUGAACCCAGGAGGCAGAGGUUGCAGUGAGCCGAGAUCGCACCAUUGCACUCUAGCCUGGGCAACAGGGCAAGACUCUGUCUCAA